rnacentral:rRNA from 1 species
UACGUAGGGCGCAAGCGUUAUCCGGAAUUACUGGGCGUAAAGCGCACGUAGGCGGAUCGAUCAGUCAGGGGUGAAAUCCCAGGGCUCAACCCUGGAACUGCCUUUGAUACUGUCGAUCUGGAGUAUGGAAGAGGUGAGUGGAAUUCCGAGUGUAGAGGUGAAAUUCGUAGAUAUUCGGAGGAACACCAGUGGCGAAGGCGGCUCACUGGUCCAUUACUGACGCUGAGGUGCGAAAGCGUGGGGAGCAAACAGG